UUUGGGUCUUGUAAUUGGAAUGAGUACAAUUUAAAUCCCUUAACGAGGAACAAUUGGAGGGCAAGUCUGGUGCCAGCAGCCGCGGUAAUUUCCAGCUCCAAUAGCGUAUAUUAAARKUUGUUUGCAGUUWAAAAAGCUCGUAGUUUGAAACUUGGGCCUGGUUGGCCGGUCCGCCUCACCGCGUGCACUGGUCCGACCGGGUCUUUUCCUUCUGGGGAGCCGCAUGCCCUUCACUGGGUGUGUCGGGGGAACCAGGACUUUUACUUUGAAAAAAUUAGAGUGUUCAAAGCAGGCCUAUGCUCGAAUACAUUAGCAUGGAAUAAUAGAAUAGGACGUGUGGUUCUAUUUUGUUGGUUUCUAGGACCGCC
rnacentral:rRNA from 1 species